rnacentral:lncRNA from 1 species
UCUGUUGAAUUAUCUGGAGGAACUCAUUGGCCUCUUCCACUGAUACCUUCCUUCCGCUGGAGUCGCCUCCUUUCUCCGUGAAUCUCGUAGUCGAAACGUCCUCAUCCAAAGUGGGGCCCGCUUCGUUGGUCUCUUCCGCGUCCACCUUUGCCUUCCCCUUGGCGUCCAUGAGUUGCACUGACAUGUUAGGCGAUGCAAAGACAUGACUGCUAUGGGUCACACCACUU